rnacentral:rRNA from 1 species
UACAGAGGGUGCGAGCGUUGUCCGGAAUCACUGGGCGUAAAGGGCGCGUAGGCGGCGCGGUAAGCGUGCGGUGAAAGCCCGGGGCUCAACCCCGGGUCGGCCGUGCGGACUGCCGGGCUGGAGCACUGUAGAGGCAGGUGGAAUUCCGGGUGUAGCGGUGGAGUGCGUAGAGAUCCGGAAGAACACCGGUGGCGAAGGCGGCCUGCUGGGCAGUAGCUGACGCUGAGACGCGAAAGCGUGGGGAGCGAACCGG